GACGAACGCUGGCGGCGUGCUUAACACAUGCAAGUCGAGCGGUAAGGCCCUUUCGGGGUACGACGAGCGGCGAACGGGUGAGUAACACGUGGGUGACCUGCCCUCAGCUCUGGGAUAAGCCUGGGAAACCGGGUCUAAUACUGGAUAUGACUCCAUGACGCAUGUUGGUGGGGUGGAAAGCCUUGUGCGGCUGAGGAUGGGCCCGCGGCCUAUCAGCUUGGUUGGUGGGGUGANGGCCCUACCAAGGCGACGACGGGUAGCCGCCUGAGAGGGCGACCGGCCACACUGGGACUGAGACACGGCCCAGACUCCUACGGGAGGCAGCAGUGGGGAAUCUUGCGCAAUGGGCGAAAGCCUGACGCAGCG
rnacentral:rRNA from 1 species